UUUUGUUUAUAAUCCUAAUUUUUAAAUAGUUCACCUUGAUGUGUCAUAAGCAUCCAAAGCUCAGUAUAUCUUCAGGUUCAGCCUAUGGUUUGGGACAAAUGUGUAUCAUUUUUAAUUCCCUCAAAAUUCUCAGUGCUUUGCCUAUUCCUUUUUCUGCUACAAUUACUGGCAAACCCUGACCUUUUUACUAUUUUCACAGGUUUAUCUUUCACAGAAGGUCGUACAGUUUGAAUCAUAAUAUCUAACCCUUUCAAGAUCGACUUCUUUAACUUGGUAUUGUCUGAGGUUUUCAUGUCUCAUUUCCUUUUAGUGCUGAAUAAUUGCCAUCAUCUUGGAAUAGUCAAAACCACCAAUUCUCCUCGCUCCAUUUACACCAUUCACAAUACUUCAAGUUCAGUGACAGAAGCCUGUAACUUGGGACUGAGUGGUAGUCAGUGUUAUCCACGAGUGGACAACUGGAGCGAUGCAUACAGACCUAAGAUGGACUCCUGGUGAAAGGACUGAACACAUCCUAACAAAUAUGCUUCAUAGCUUCACACAAGUGUAUCAGGUGUCCCUUAUGAAGGGACUCUGGAAUGCAUGGACACAAACUGGGAUGUCCUAAAUGCUCCAGGACCUCCUCCACAAUGCCUGGGUAUGAAAACAUUGGGUAUCAGGAGCAGCAAACAGAGAAAAAGAAUCCAGAAAGUAUUCUUGAACUGAAGGACACUCAGGUUGGCAAGUUUUGGAACUAUGACCAUUUCAUUACCUUAAACCGAC